GGGGAUAUAGCUCAACUGGGAGAGCACCGCGUUCGCAAUGCGGAGGUUGGGGGUUCGAGCCCCCCUAUCUCCACCA
rnacentral:tRNA from 2 species